GUCGGGAGGGCGGCUAAUAAAAGACCUCGUCUUGAGGGAAUACGCCCGCCGGCUUUGUGCGGUUUUCUAGCCUCCCGACAUCCCCGU
rnacentral:ncRNA from 1 species